rnacentral:rRNA from 1 species
AUUGAACGCUGGCGGCAGGCCUAACACAUGCAAAUCGAGCGAGCGGCGGACGGGUGAGUAAUGUAUGGGGACUGCCCGAUAGAGGGGGAUAACUACUGGAAACGGUGGCUAAUACUGCAUACUAUCGGAUAACCCAUAUGGGAUUAGCUAGUAGGUGGGGUAAAGGCUCAUCUAGGCGACGAUAUCUAGCUGGUCUGAGAGGAUGAUCAGCCACACUGGGGCUGAGACAAGGCUCAGAGUCCAAUUGAGGCGGCAGUGUGUAAUAUUGCACAAUGGGCGCAAGCCUGAUUCAGCCAGGCCGCGUGUAUGAAGAAGGCCUUAGGGUUGUAAAGUACUUUCAGCGGGGAGGCGUUACCCGCAGAUGAAGCACCGGCUAACUCCGUGCCAGCAGCCGCGGUAAUUC